UUUUUUUUUUUUUUUGAAACAGUCUCGCUCUGUCGUCCAGGCUGGAGUGCAGCGGCGUGAUCUCCACUCACUGCAACCGCCGCCUCCCAGGUUCAACCAAUUCUCCUGUCUCAGCCUCUCAGCCACAAGUUCAUGCCUCCUGAAAUAAAGAAAAUGAACAAAUGAACCUGUGAAGAUAUAGAAGCAAGGAGGAGUGGAGGAGGUGGAAAUAGUCUAUGAACUUGAAAAGGUUCCUGGCAAGGCCCAGAGCCCUUCAUUUAGAGAAGCAGGCACAACUGAAGAGAGGAAGAUAGUCCUGGCUGCCCAUGGACCCUCUGACCUCGAACCCUCAUAGCAGCUCCAGGGCAGUUAUUCCAAGGGUCAGGGAUUCCAAGAAGUUUUGCAGAGCGGGAGGAAGACAGAGCAUGAGGACAUCCUGGAAACUGCUUGCCCUUUGUGAUCUAGAGGAGAAAGAGAGACUGAAGCACGGAAUAACUUGUUUUAUCAUGGGCUCUGGGGUCAGGCUCUCUGGAAUUUAAUACUAACAUUUAUGUAUUACAAGACUUUGGACAGGGUUCUUAACUUCUCUGUUCCUCAAUUUUCUAAUCUGUAAAAUGAUGUAAAAAUCUGCAAUAUCAACAACAAAGUCCACAUUUGUUUGUUCUUAAAGGUGUGUGUGUGUGUGUGUGUGUGUGUGUGUGUGUGUAUGAUGAUGAUUACAAGGCUUGGAACUUAUAAGCACUCAACAAACAAGUUGUUAGUGUUGUUAUUAUUAUUACCACUGCUCAAAUGUGUACUUGUAAUCCUACUGCCACUCUCAUCACACCUCAUAGUCUGCUUGGACCUGGACAGAUAAUUUAUCAGCUUUUAAAUUCAACUGAUAAACUAGAUUGAGGCUCUGUUGUGCAUAAGGUAGAGAGCUAAAUGCUGUGGAAAAAUUGAACAUGAAGAAAACAUUGCCUGACAACUAUUUAUGACCCAGCAGGGUUUGGAAGACAUACAAAAACGCAAACCAAACCAAAGCAAAGGCACUAUCUGAUAAAUAUUGUAGGAGAGAUAUAAACAAAGGGUUAUGGGCCCUCUGGAAGACAGAGCACUUUCAGCUGGAGGUUCAUUUAUAAGGGGAGAGGCCCAAAUCAGGGGGGUGAAAGGAGAUCAAUGGGAAGAAGGGUGAGUGGAAAAAGACAUUUCAGAGACGGUCACGAAUCCGUUAUACAGGAGAAGAGAGACAACGCUAAGAAUAACUUGCUGUAUUUACAGCCAGGAAAUCUAGGAGAGGGUUAACAGAAAAUAAUAACAAUAAUUAUAACAAAGCAAGAAAAGCUUUUUGGGGAAGAAAAAUGAUGCUCACUCAUCUUAGUGAACACUACUAGACCAACCACUUAUGAGCACACUCUUAAUUGAAUUUCUGCCUUGGCCAAAUUCUCCAGCAUAAGACAUAUAAGUAUAGGAUCAUGCAUCAUAUCCAUCUCAGCUUCAAUGUUCACUGGUCAUUUUGGCACUGUUUUUUCCCCCAUUCUAAUAAUAUCGCCUAUAGAAACAGUCAUCAGUGAUUUUCUUCACUGUGAGAGCCAACCACGCUCUAUGAAUAAAAGAGCAAAUUCCCCCAUGUUUCUCCCUAGCCCAACUGAAAGUCGUCAAUAACCCCAGCAAACCCAAAGUAACAAGUGAGACGUUUUAAAGCCAGUCAAAUAAUGCUUGCCAUAGAUCACACCUGCUACUUAGUAACAGAUGUUUGUGUGGCUGUGAUCUACUGGGGAAAAAUUCACACUCAGUAGCCCUUGUACUUCCACUUCCAACUGUGUUGUAGCUAUUGUUAGUAUUUUGGCCCAGAAUAGAAGAUAUAUUGUAGAAAUAUCAGCUGGCUCCCAUGUAAGACACUCAAGUUAAUUUUUCUCUGAAGACUCUGCUCCUUUGUUCAUCUGGACUAAUUAUUUUGUGUUUAUCAAAACAAAAGGGCAUAUUGCAGAAAAGAGAAAAGGAAUUACAUUAAUCUUCUGCACAAGGCUUUUGGGCCAUGGUGAAGGAAAAUUAGGGGCCUUGGCAGUACUCAGACCCUGUGUUCUAGCAUCAAAGGAUGUUAGCACUGGGGGUGAGUGUAGUUUAGGGAAAUGCCCCUGAGAGCAAUGUAAGUGCACCCUUAGAAUGACCCUACACUGCAGAUGCAGCUGAAUGUGUGUUUCAGGCUACGGAAUCCAGGAGUAGCCAACCAGAGAGUCAUUCCCUGUCUGUGAGGAAUAUCUGAGACCUCCACCCAUCCCAUGGAACACAGGCCAAACAAGGGAUUAAGGCUAUGAGUUUUAGGGUACGUGGAGGUUUCCAGGUAGAGGUUGUUAAGAGGAAGGUGUUAAGUGAAUUCUAUGUAAACUGCAUGCUAUUUGCUAGCAGCUGCGGUUUUUCUGCCCAGCCUGGGCCAUGCAGUGAUGUUGUCCAGCCCACCACAACUGGACCAUUUCUAUACAUUAGAUAAUUCUGUCCAGCCUGCCUCCAAUGGACUGUCUCCCUUGUAUGUAAGCCCCAAAUAAAACCCCAUGUCACCUUUGCUGG